AGUGAACGCUGGCGGCAGGCCUAACACAUGCAAGUCGAACGAGUGGCGGACGGGUGAGUAAUACAUUGGAAUCUACCCUGUCGUGGGGGAUAACUUAUGGAAACUUUCGCUAAUACCGCAUACCAUUGAAUGUGCCGAUGUCGGAUUAGCUAGUUGGUGGGGUAAAGGCGCACCAAGGCGACGAUCCGUAGCUGGUCUGAGAGGAUGACCAGCCACACUGGAACUGAGACACGGUCCAGACUCCUACGGGAGGCAGCAGUGGGGAAUAUUGGACAAUGGGCUCAAGCCUGAUCCAGCCAUACCGCGUGGGUGAAGAAGGCCUUCGGGUUGUAAAGCCCUUUUGUUGGGAAAGCGGUACCCAAAGAAUAAGCACCGGCUAACUUCGUGCCAGCAGCCGCGGUAAUUC
rnacentral:rRNA from 1 species